UGGGGAAUAUUGGACAAUGGGCGCAAGCCUGAUCCAGCCAUGCCGCGUGAGUGAUGAAGGCCUUAGGGUUGUAAAGCUCUUUCAGUAGGGAAGAUAAUGACGGUACCUACAGAAGAAGCCCCGGCUAACUUCGUGCCAGCAGCCGCGGUAAUACGAAGGGGGCUAGCGUUGUUCGGAUUUACUGGGCGUAAAGCGCACGUAGGCGGAUUGUUAAGUCGGGGGUGAAAUCCUGGAGCUCAACUCCAGAACUGCCUUCGAUACUGGCAAUCUCGAGUCCGGAAGAGGUGAGUGGAACUCCUAGUGUAGAGGUGGAAUUCGUAGAUAUUAGGAAGAACACCAGUGGCGAAGGCGGCUCACUGGUCCGGUACUGACGCUGAGGUGCGAAAGCGUGGGGAGCAAACA
rnacentral:rRNA from 1 species